rnacentral:lncRNA from 1 species
GUGAUUUUAUUCUUUGUGAUCAGUAAAAUAAUGAUGUAUUUUACAAUUGAUGUGAUUGAUACAUCAUACAAUUUUUAGAAAAUGCUUUUAGUAUUAACAAAUGAUCAUUCAGUGGUUUGUAUACACCUGGUAUUAUUCUACAUGCUUGAUGUAUUAUUAAUUCAUUCAAUCUUCACAGCAUCUCAGGAGGGAGACAGUAACACCACUCCCGUGAUCCAAUUCUGAAUCUAAGCCCAAGUCCUACAAGAAAUAAACAGAAAAACCUGAGCUUGACUCAGCCUGUUUCCAGAAUGCUUGCUCACAUCAAAUAUGUUAGAGUAUCUUUUAUCUUAUAUAGUAAAUACUUUAUAGGUUUAGUUUAAGAAUUGUUACUCUUCACCACAGUCAUGAAGCUAUCUUUUUAAGUUCUAAAUAAUGUAUUAAAUUGUUUUUAUAUUUAGGUCUGUGAUCCAUUUGGAAUAGGUUAUGUGUGUAAUGUGAGACGGUAGAUUUUAUUUCCAAUGACGCAUAUUCACAUCCCUACAUUUAUUGAAAAUUUAUUUCCCCACUAAUUUAUCUUAUAUAUUAUUUGCCUAUAUAUGCAUGUGUUCGUUUUUAAGCUCUCUUUAAUUUUUUUCCAUUGAUAUUCUCCAUCUUUGUGCAAAUACUGAGUUAGUCCCUUCAUUUAAUGCAAGAAUUUUCCUCCAGUGCCCUUUCUGUUGUCCACUGUACUGUUCUAUAAUGAAGUAAAAGAAGGGUGAAAAUUUGCACACCUUACACCUACACCAGGAUUCCCAGCUGUAUCUUGAAGGAAGCGGAGGUUAGAACUUUCAAGAUUAAUGUCGACACUAAUGUCUCUAAUGUCCUUGUGAAUCUUAGGCAAUUCUCCCGAGAUACUUUCUGCUUUAUUGUGUGUGCGUGUGUUUAACGUUCUCAGUGAAUUCCAUUUGCUGUCAGGACUCCUGAUUUUCUUUCCCUGCUUUUAGGAUACUCAGUGACUUUCUACUCCCCUAGCAACAGCCAGCAGUGGUAGGAACCUGCACAGACAACCCCAGUACCUUGUGCGCGGGCGCAGACACGCCAAGGGUGGUGGGUUGCUUCCUCCAGACCACGCCCACCGAUGCCGGCAGCAGCUGGUGCAGCGGAGCUCAGAUCCUCUCUGUGGGGUCUGCACCGGCAAGGGCAGCUGCUCCCUGCCUUUCCUCAGGAGUCAGUGGAGAUGAAUUUUCUCUGAUUGUCAGAUGUUCACAAAGGCUUUAACUUGUAUGAAUGAACUCCGAGACCACCUUUCUGAAUGCACAGACCUGCCACGUUGUUGCUGUAGAAGAAUGGAGACAAGAUGAUUCCAACUUAAAGGAAACUGGAAGUAUUCUGAGGAAACAAAUAGAGAAGUUCUGUGACCCAUGUUUUGGUGAAGUAAUGAUGACACAGGGAUACCCUGCCUCAUGAACGCUGGUGUGACUUCUCUCUUCUGUUCUUACCACUGGACAUGAUGGCUUGAUGAAGUCAGGCCACCUCGCUCUUCUAUGCUCUCAGUUCCAUCUUCUCAACUCGGAAAGCCUGCCAAGGUCCUUACAACAUCACAGCUGGGAAACUCUCAAAGCAGUAAACUUGGGCAAUAGUAGGCUUCACUCACAUCAUUGUUGUGUAUUUCCAGGUAUCAUUGUUCUCCAUCAUUUGGUGUACAGUACUUUAAAAAAGUUUCAUAUUCUUUGUCCAUUUUUUUAUUUAUGUGUGAUAAGGCAUGUCCAGUUCCUAUUAGUUUUUCCAUAACAUCUUGAUUCAUUCCUCCUGCAAAUUCUCGAUGAUCACUCCAUCCCUGGCUAUAUGCUUCUUGUUCACAGUGUAAAGGAGAAUAAAGACCAAUGUAAGCUAAACUCACAGAGAGAUAGAUAAUUUUAUUGGCAUUUGUAAUGCUAAAGAGAAGGUCAGAAUUGGCCUAUGUACAGUAUCUGUAGAAGUUUCCAUAGGGGACAUCCACUAGAAGUCAGUGAAUCAAACAUUUAAAAUGGAUAAUAUCUCUAAAAAAAUAUACUGUCUCUGUCAAUUAUAAUAUUUGACUCAUAAUAGCCUUAUUUUAUACUCAUUGAAAAAGCCCUUCAGAAUUGGUAAGAUGUAGCUUUUAUUUACAUAAAAAUGAAAACAUGUUGAAAUUAAUUUGUCAAUGAAUUUCUAAGGAUACAAUGAUAUUCUAAUUUUUCUGAAUCAGAUCUUGAUCCAGAGUCAUGUAUAUCUUAACAUCACUCUGUGGAAUGAAGAGUGAUACGAGUGAAACAUUUCCUAAUACAAGAGGCACCACUGUCUGUGUAAUUUCCAACUUCCCUGUUGACACCCAG